AAAUGACUGGAAGGAGACACACGAAAGUGUGGCUGAGUGAGAAUUAACAGAGGACAGUCUAGGGCCCUAGGGUGUCCAGAGGAAGACACCAAGGAGCCAAGGCCCAGGUUUUAGUGGAUGACCCUGGGCAUGUACUAGUAGCUCUCUCGGGUUUUGUAGGGAAACAUGAACUUUCGGGGGAAUUGCCUGGACCAGCGAGCAACAUGGCUCCA
rnacentral:lncRNA from 1 species